GCAAGGCCCUGCGUCGUCGUGAACGGGGAGGUGCCCCGAGCGAGGAGCUGCAAGCCCCCAGGCAAGGCCAGGAACGCCGCUUUGCCAGCUCCCUGCUGGAGAAGCUGCUGCAGUACCUGGACAUGGCCGCGAUAGACCUCAAGGUUCUGAGGCUCAGCGUGCCCUUCAGCCACGGGACAAGCUUCAAGACCUCCAGCCGGGACGUGAAGUUCUUCAGCAUGGUGGAUAGAAGAAGGGAGGCUUACGCCGUUCUCUAUUCUUCUUGCUCGAAGCCAUUUACUCCGCGUUUUCACUGUCUGUGUAUCCAAUCACACAUAAUAGAAAUACACUUGACUUUUGUUAUUUCAACCAGUUAACUUGAUCCCUACCGAAGGGCCCGGCCGGUGCCCAUGAAUUUAUUGGGCCCAAACUUUUGUUAUUUCGAUCCUAAAUUUAGCCUCAGUGGAUAAUUGGAACUUCAAAACUCAGCAUGCACAUGAUUGGGCCCUAUGGUGUCCCAAAUAGUGAUGCAGUUAGUGGCAGCAUCUGUUACAGCAGAGCUUAGGGGACAGUGACCGUAUUGAAUACAUAUUGUCUCUUGUUUAAAGUGCCUGUUUUCUGCCUACGCAAGGAGAAUUCAAGCAAUAACCAUAGCUAACUAUGUAUGGAAAUGGGAGUUAUCUGAUUAUAAUGUGAGCCUUUCUCUCCCUAACAAAAUUGGGCAGGAAAUUGUGUGAUCAGUGCAAUCGGUGCAACCAAAACCACCUUUGCGUUUCUCCAAUGCUUUUCUGCAUAACAGGUGUGCAUAGCGGCAAAGCUACUCUUAAGUAGUCAAGUGGCAAGGCUGACUUUACGAAAUCAUGCAACACCCUUGCCAGGUUUCUUUUCUUUGCUAAAAAUUACAUGAUUUCUACUUUGUUUAGGAGCAUUAAUGUAAUUUCUAUGUUUGUUUACUGCUUUUCGCACAUAUAAAGUGAGUACAUGCUUGAUUCGUGUGCGUGUUAGGAUCGGACAAAUGCUGCCAGAUGAAUCGGCAAUGUUUUCUGGCACUUUUUCUGCAUCUUGUUUAACUUGACCCAUCAGAUAAUCAAAUCAAUUUUGUAGGUGCCAUGAAGGUCGAGUUAACGAUAGUCUACCGUAUUGUGCAUAUAUUGGAGCCGGUCCAAGGGUUUAACCACCUUACGUGAUACCUCCUUUGCAAGUACAAUGAGAGAAACGCCUAGAAUAAAACAGCGCAAAUCAAAGAAAGGCUAGAAUAAAUGCAUAUGUAACCGUAUCAAAGUACAUCAGUUUAUUAAGGUGACACAAAAAAAUCUUCGCAGGCAGACGGGAAUAGUCAUGGUCAAAAAUGUUUUAAUUUUCUCUUAAACAUUUCUAAGGAAGUUACGUAUGUCGUCUGUGGUUGUUAGGGACCUCACAUCAUUUCACUAAAUAAGCACAUGACCCAUUGGUAGCACUAUACCUGCUGGGGUACGUCUGUGCAUUCCAUUUAAAGUGGGUGUGCCCAUGGGUUUGUCCUUUUGAAUGUGGAUGCCCUGUUAUGCGCACAACAUAGCAUAGAAAGGUCAGCUAAACUGGAAGUGUCACCUGACCUCUGCAGGAAUUAGUGGACUGAAUUGCCACAAUGUGUUGCUGAUUGCAGACUGGCUUUUGGGAUGCACAGACGUUGAAGCUGCUUGCUCAUGUUGUCUCAAUGCUUUUUUAGGAGAAAUGGAAAGCGAAGAUUUGUAUCUCUACUACACUGUCUGGUUUGAAAGUUUCAACUUCACAGAAAGAUGCACAAUACAGCAAAGGUGAAUCGGGGAGGGGGUUCAAUUCUGCUUGAUUGGCUCCUACUGAACUGCUGUCCAGAGGAUACGCCAAGGUAGUCAUAAUGGAAGUCAGCACUGUGGCUCAUAAAUUCCAACCCAGCAGUUGGUGUCGUGGUGUUAUCAGUAAACAAUCUGCAUGUUACACUUCCAUUUGGCAGGAUUGGCAAGCUGCCCAGAUUUUGACGAUAGCCUAGUAACACAAGACGAGGGAUAAAGAGCACAUCACAGCUUGCAUGCGGUCUCUCGCACAUGCGUGUUUGUGUGUUUAUCAGUUUUUCCUGAGAAAUUCUGCCAUACUUUGUUUCUUAUUCAUCCAGGUGGUGUUGCCAUUGAUGGAGAAGGUGUUUCUGGCUCACCGGUCAUUCAUCCUGAUGUCACCGACCGCCACUUCCACAGUUGGCAGAAGGAGAUGGUCGCAAGACCUAUCUUUUGGCAGGAACCACUGGCUCAAGAACAAUGUUAAAGAAGCUAAACAAGUAUACACUUGCGUGGCGGAUCUGUUCAACUCUUGGAACAAGUCUCAGUACUUUCGGCAAGAGGAUGCCAACUUCAUCUCCCAGCACGACAUCGACAACAUGGCGCUCAUCAUGCCCUCCAAAGGGCGUGGACGAGCCAGCGUUAAGACUGUAGACGCUGGCCAGGGCCACAAGAAGGAGAAGAGAAAGAAGCGCAAUGGCAAGAGGGACAAGGACAAGGAGCUGGCGGCCAGCCUGGUGGUGGCCUGCCUCAGGCGCCUCCUGCCCGUAGGGCUCAACCUGUUCGCCGGCUGGGAGCAGGAGCUGGUCCAGCACGCCAAGGAGAAGUUCCUCAGCAUGCAGCAUGCGAGCAGCAUAUCGAAUGAAGACACUGAUGAGCCUCCAGCCAAGGCAGAGCCCUACACAUUCCUGGGAGCCGAGGAGGCAAGGCCACCGGGCCCCUGGAGCCUCUCAAGCAUGGCCUGGACCUUCUGCGCGACAGCAUUGGUGCCUUGCUGUCCGUGCUGCGGCCGUCCAACAUCCGGCAUCAGUACCGGAAGCUGCGCUCCAUGACAUUUGGCGAAUAAGGUGACAACAGUGACUGCCCAUGUGGCUCACAGAAAAGUCUCGGAAACGACGAGCUGGGAGUUGCAUCAUGUCGGCUAGCCAGCAGAUGUGCAUCAGAAGUACUCUGAGACGUACGACCCCGAGGCCCUUAGCAAUGUGCUUGGCAGGGACAAGAGUGGAUCCAUCUUUCAAUAAAAG